UUGCCACCUUUGAAUCUUUAGUUGAGCACUUGUAGCAGCCUGGCAAAUAUAGUUCAUAAAUUCAUCAAAAGCCGGAUGACAAGUGCAUAAGUACUUAAAAAUUAUGCAACACGGGCAUCGGGCGAAACACAACUCCGAACUCGCAACGCCCAAGCAUGGGCCUCUUAUGAGAACUUUGGCAAAUGGAAACGCAAGUGGCUUUAACAACGGACAGCUGCUCGAUCAUGGCUCAAAUCUCUGGAUCAAACAUGGUUUUCAACUGCUUGAAGCGACCUUCAUAUAAAAUGUAUAAUGUACACACAUUUAUAAGUGGCGUCGGGCACACUGAGAGUUGGGACUGCGACGUAAGAAAUUGUUGUUUUGAUUUGUUUGGCUCAUGACAAAAUGAUUUCAUGCUUUAGUUUAUUAUGAA